AGAGUUUGAUCCUCGGCUCAGGCUGAUAGCGUCUGGCGGCAUGCCUAAGUACAUGCAAGUCGAACGAAGUCUUUAGAAAAGCUUGCUUUUUAAAAAGACUUUAGUGGCGAAACGGGUGAGUAACACGUAGGGGAACCCUGGCCCCAUGGUACCCCGGGGAUAACAGGAUGGGAAAACGUUCUGCUAAAACCGGAUAGGGUAUAGACCAAGGCAUCUUGAACUAUAUUAAAGGGACCUUUCGGGGUGUGGACAUGGGAUGGGACCUGCGGCGUAUUUAGGCCCAGUUGGGCGGGGGUAACGGCCCCACCAAAAGCGAAUGAUACGUAGCCGGGCCUGAGAGGGGUAGACGGGCCCACAUUGGGACUGAGACACGGGCCCCAAAACUCCCUACGGGGAGGCAGCAGUAGGGAAUUUUUCGUCAAAUGGGGGGGAACCCCUGAACGAGCAAUGCCGCGUGAGUGAAGAAGGCCUUCGGGUCGUAAAGCUCUGUUGUAAGAGAAAAACGGUAAUGAUAGGGAAUGAUCAUUAAGUGAUGGUAUCUUACGAGGAAGCCACGGCUAACUACGUGCCAGCAGCCGCGGUAAUACGUAGGUGGCAAGCGUUAUCCGGAAUGAUUGGGCGUAAAGGGUGCGCAGGCGGAUGUAUAAGUCUGAAGUAAAAGCCAUCGGCUCAACCGAUGUAAGCUUUGGAAACUGUAGAUCUAGAGUGCAGGAGAGGACAGUGGAAUUCCAUGUGUAGCGGUAAAAUGCGUAGAUAUAUGGAGGAACACCAGUGGCGAAGGCGGCUGUCUGGCCUGUAACUGACGCUGAGGCACGAAAGCGUGGGGAGCAAAUAGGAUUAGAUACCCUAGUAGUCCACGCUGUAAACGAUGAGAACUAAGUGUUGGAGAGAUUCAGUGCUGCAGUUAACGCAAUAAGUUCUCCGCCUGGGGAGUAUGCACGCAAGUGUGAAACUCAAAGGAAUUGACGGGGGCCCGCACAAGCGGUGGAGUAUGUGGUUUAAUUCGAAGCAACGCGAAGAACCUUACCAGGCCUUGACAUGGCGUUAAAUGCCCUAGAGAUAGGGAGAUAGAAAUAAUGCACACAGGUGGUGCAUGGUUGUCGUCAGCUCGUGUCGUGAGAUGUUGGGUUAAGUCCCGCAACGAGCGCAACCCUUGUCGCAUGUUACCAGCAGUAAGAUGGGGACUCAUGCGAGACUGCCGGUGAUAAACCGGAGGAAGGCGGGGAUGACGUCAAAUCAUCAUGCCCCUUAUGGCCUGGGCGACACACGUACUACAAUGGCGACUACAGAGGGAAGCGAGACAGUGAUGUUAAGCGGACCCCAAAAAGGUCGUCCCAGUUCGGAUUGAAGUCUGCAACUCGACUUCAUGAAGCCGGAAUCGCUAGUAAUCGCAGAUCAGCAUGCUGCGGUGAAUACGUUCUCGGGCCUUGUACACACCGCCCGUCAAACCAUGGGAGUCGGUAAUGCCCGAAGCCGGUGGCAUAACCUAGAAAUAGGAGUGAGCCGUCGAAGGCAGGACUGAUGACUGGGGUUAAGUCGUAACAAGGUAACCAG
rnacentral:rRNA from 1 species